UACGGAGGGUGCGAGCGUUAAUCGGAAUUACUGGGCGUAGAGCGCACGCAGGCGGUUUGUUAAGCUAGAUGUGAAAGCCCCGGGCUCAACCUGGGAUGGUCAUUUAGAACUGGCAGACUAGAGUCUUGGAGAGGGGAGUGGAAUUCCAGGUGUAGCGGUGAAAUGCGUAGAUAUCUGGAGGAACAUCAGUGGCGAAGGCGACUCCCUGGCCAAAGACUGACGCUCAUGUGCGAAAGUGUGGGUAGCGAGCAGG
rnacentral:rRNA from 1 species